rnacentral:snoRNA from 2 species
ACCCUUCCGUAGUUCAUAAGCAUGAUGACUGGGUGUUCACAUGCAUGCGUGAGAUAUGGCAACCUCAAACGGCACAUUACCUGUCUGACA